rnacentral:rRNA from 1 species
ACGCGUGAAGUAGACCGCCUGGGGAGUACGGUCGCAAGAUUAAAACUCAAAGGAAUUGACGGGGACCCGCACAAGCGGUGGAUGAUGUGGAUUAAUUCGAUGCAACGCGAAAAACCUUACCUACCCUUGACAUGGUCGGAAUCCCGAAGAGAUUUGGGAGUGCUCGAAAGAGAACCGGCGCACAGGUGCUGCAUGGCUGUCGUCAGCUCGUGUCGUGAGAUGUUGGGUUAAGUCCCGCAACGAGCGCAACCCUUGUCAUUAGUUGCUACGAAAGGGCACUCUAAUGAGACUGCCGGUGACAAACCGGAGGAAGGUGGGGAUGACGUCAAGUCCUCAUGGCCCUUAUGGGUAGGGCUUCACACGUCAUACAAUGGUACAUACAGAGGGCCGCCAACCCGCGAGGGGGAGCUAAUCCCAGAAAGUGUAUCGUAGUCCGGAUUGGAGUCUGCAACUCGACUCCAUGAAGUUGGAAUCGCUAGUAAUCGCGGAUCAGCAUGUCGCGGUGAAUACGUUCCCGGGUCUUGUACACACCGCCCGUCACACCAUGGGAGCGGGUUUUACCAGAAGUGG